rnacentral:rRNA from 1 species
UACGGAGGGUGCAAGCGUUAUCCGGAUUCACUGGGUUUAAAGGGUGUGUAGGCGGAUUUUUAAGUCAGUGGUGAAAUCUCCGGGCUCAACCCGGAAACUGCCAUUGAUACUAUCAGUCUUGAAUAUUGUUGAGGUGGGCGGAAUAUGUCAUGUAGCGGUGAAAUGCAUAGAGAUGACAUAGAACACCGAUUGCGAAGGCAGCUCACUAAACAUGUAUUGACGCUGAGGCACGAAAGCGUGGGGAUCAAACAGG